UACGUAGGGUGCAAGCGUUAAUCGGAAUUACUGGGCGUAAAGCGUGCGCAGGCGGUUAUGUAAGACAGGUGUGAAAUCCCAGGGCUCAACCUUGGAACUGCAUUUGUGACUGCAUAGCUAGAGUACGGUAGAGGGGGAUGGAAUUCCGCGUGUAGCAGUGAAAUGCGUAGAUAUGCGGAGGAACACCGAUGGCGAAGGCAAUCCCCUGGACCUGUACUGACGCUCAUGCACGAAAGCGUGGGGAGCAAACAGG
rnacentral:rRNA from 1 species